rnacentral:rRNA from 1 species
AUACGUAGGGGGCGAGCGUUGUCCGGAAUGAUUGGGCGUAAAGGGCGCGUAGGCGGCGCGGUAAGUCUGGAGUGAAAGUCCUGCUUUCAAGGUGGGAAUUGCUUUGGAUACUGCCGCGCUUGAGUGCAGGAGAGGUUAUCGGAAUUCCCGGUGUAGCGGUGAAAUGCGUAGAGAUCGGGAGGAACACCAGUGGCGAAGGCGGGUAACUGGACUGCAACUGACGCUGAGGCGCGAAAGUGUGGGGAGCAAACAGGAUUAGAUACCCUGGUAGUCCACACUGUAAACGAUGAAUGCUAGGUGUAAGAGGUAUCGACCCCUUUUGUGUCGGAGUCAACACAAUAAGCAUUCCGCCUGGGGAGUACGGCCGCAAGGUUGAAACUCAAAUGAAUUGGCGGGG